GAUGCUGUCUUUCAAGCCAAAGGCCAAUAAAAUUGUUAUGCUCCUAACAUCAAAACAUCAGAAGGGGAAUAUCUGUGAAGACGGAAAGGCUGAGGUGGUGCACUUCUAUAACAGCACAAAAGGAGGCACUGACACAUUUGAUCAGAUGUGUCAGCGGUAUUCUUGUAGUCGAAAGACUAAACGUUGGCCUUUGUGCAUCUACUAUGGAAUAGUCAAUGCAGCCAGCAUUAAUUCCUAUAUUAUAUACUGCAAGAAAUGUUCUGAUCGCCAUAUCAAAAAGAUGGAGAGACGAUGUUUCAUGCAGGAAGCUGCCUAUGAGCUGGUCAAGCCAUGGGCCCAACAGAGACUCACAGAACAGGGACUUCCCCGCCAGAUAGUUUUCCACAUUCGUUCUGUGUUUGGGUGGGAAGCACCAGCUUUCCCAACAACAUCUGGCGAAGCAAAGAAGAGGAAGAGGUGUGAGUUGUGCCCCAGGACCAAAGACAAUAAGACUACAUCGAAGUGCCAGUACUGUAGCAGGGCUGUUUGUGGGAAACACUUUGUUCCUGUCUGCAGAGACUGCUUGUAGAAAAAGGUUCUGCCAGGGAGUGGAUGUGGUUUUUACACAUUUACUGAAGAAAGUGAUGUGCAAGGAUGCAAUUUAUGGUGGUAUAGCAAGUUUCAAGAGUUCAGUUUUUUUUUUUACAUUUUUUUGGUAACAUGCUGUAAAAGAUAGGAGUAAUUUUUUUUAUAAAUUCACUACAAUUAUUCAAAUACAGCAAAAGUGCAGUUUUCAGUUCCAAAGAACGUCAGAGGAUUUAUAUUUUUGCAUAAAAACUGUGCAACAUAAUAAAUGUUGAAUAUGA